GGGGCCAUAGCUCAGCUGGGAGAGCGCCUGGUUUGCAACCAGGAGGUCAGGGGUUCGAUCCCCCUUGGCUCCACCA
rnacentral:tRNA from 1 species